rnacentral:rRNA from 1 species
UGGGGAAUAUUGCACAAUGGGCGCAAGCCUGAUGCAGCCAUGCCGCGUGUAUGAAGAAGGCCUUCGGGUUGUAAAGUACUUUCAGCGGGGAGGAAGGUGUUGUGGUUAAUAACCGCAGCAAUUGACGUUACCCGCAGAAGAAGCACCGGCUAACUCCGUGCCAGCAGCCGCGGUAAUACGGAGGGUGCAAGCGUUAAUCGGAAUUACUGGGCGUAAAGCGCUCGCAGGCGGUCUGUCAAGUCGGAUGUGAAAUCCCCGGGCUCAACCUGGGAACUGCAUUCGAAACUGGCAGGCUAGAGUCUUGUAGAGGGGGGUAGAAUUCCAGGUGUAGCGGUGAAAUGCGUAGAGAUCUGGAGGAAUACCGGUGGCGAAGGCGGCCCCCUGGACAAAGACUGACGCUCAGGUGCGAAAGCGUGGGGAGCAAACA